GAGUUCAAGAGUACUUGAAACCGUUCAGGGGUAAACCUGAGAAACCCGAAAGGUCGAAAGGGGAAAUUCAUUCGCGUCUCGGACGUGUCUGGAUCGAAUCGAGCGUUGGCUUUAUAGGCACGGUGCGACGACGUUCUCGCGUCGGUCACACCCUUCGUUCUUCGAACCGGCGUCGAACGCGUGCACUUUUCCCCUAGUAGGACGUCGCGAUCCGUUGAGUGUCGGUCUAAGGUCCGCGGUGGAGCCCGUACGGACGUUUCACGACGUGCCGCGCGGACCCGCGGUACAUCCCGACCGACUCGCUCGACGGUACACUUAUGGCGCGGGGCCGCUACUAGUUUUAGCGUUCGGCCUGCGGCAAGCGCGUUCGGUGUUUGACGGCGAUCGGACCUGGUGCCGGUCCUGUUCCCGGACGACUGUUGGCCGUGGUGUUCUCGAAUAGACCUCGUGUUCGACGAUCUCUCGAUCGUCGAAACGCCGAUCUGCGACGCUAUAGCUUUGGGUACUUUCAGGACCCGUCUUGAA
rnacentral:rRNA from 1 species